ensembl:lncRNA
GGACACAGGACAAGGGAGAAACCAGGAGAGGCAGGAGUUGUGACAGCUCUGCCAUUCCCCAGAGCCACGGUCACACCACGGCACAGGGCUUGGAAAAGAUCCACUCCAGGCCCUGGAGAAGGAAUUUCUUGGAAAUCUUGAAAGGCCAUGGCAAAUAUGACCUUUAGGAAAAGAGGAGAGGUGACCCUGAGCUGGCUGCAAGGGUUAAUUCACUAACCCUGCUCCCAAUGCAAACAUGCACAGAGCUCAAUUACUCUACCCAGGUUUUAAAAGGACUGUAAAACAUAUAUUGCAUUGGCAAGAUGGUCAAAAGCACCCCUGGGAUGUGUGCUCUGAACUGCUUAAAGAGGCUUUGCUCCAGUUGAUUUUUAUUUUUUGGUUGGGUUUGGUUUUUGCUAUUUGCUUAUCCAACCCAUCUGCAGUGUUGUGAGGUAUGUGCAUAAGCUCUGGGAGAUUAAAGAGCUUCCAUCUAAGUGCUCUACUGACAUAAACAGAUCACAGUGGACCAAAGGGAUUGAAUCCCAAAAUAUCAGAGGAUCUGUCUCCCACUGAUUGCCAGCACAGGGCACCCUCAUGCAGCCCUAAAGCUGUGCCUAAAUCAAGGCAUGGACUCCCAGCUCCCUGCUGCUCUCCAGAAUUUUGCCCUGGACCGCUCCACUCUCAGUGGUUCUCCCCAAUCUCAGCCCAGCUGCUCCUCAGGCAUGCAAAGAAGCCUUAAAAUGUGGCUGUAUUGAGAGCAGAAACUGCAUAAAAGUGACACCUCAUCUUCCCUGCAUGUUCCUGGUGAGUCACACUCGAAACACAAACACAUGUUUUUACUCCUCAGACCAACACGGUGCCAGUGCAAGUCGGGGAAAGCCCAGGAGGGUCUCGGUUAGCUCGUGUUGUCAUCACAACACAACCAGCCCUGCAGUCCACAUGGCAACAAAACACUCUCCUUCCCACACAACACCCUCUGCUCUGACAAAUUUCUUCUGCAGGGAAGGACUUGCACGCUUGAUUAAUUUUGUUUAGGGGAGAGGCAGCGAAUUCCAGGCCGCGGUGCUGACGGGACGUGGGGAUGGAAACCAUCACUGCUGAGCACGCGAGCGAGUCUCCUCCAGGGAUGUCCCCAGGAUUGCUGAACCCUUCCCAAGGUGCAGCUGCUCACACCAAAGCUUCACUGCUGCCCCACUGCUGUAAGAAAUAGGGCUGGGAAAGAGUUCAGCCAGUGCUAGCAUACAAUCAUUCCAAAGAACUCCAACCACAAAAGAACUUCCCCAAUCAUGUACAAAAACAAUCAUUUUGGAAAAGCCUCCUGUGAGUACAUACACUCAUUUACACUCUGUUGUUAUUAUUAUACAUGUUAUUCUCCAUUGGUGAUGAAAUCCAUAUGUCUGCUUUUCCCUUCGUUCUUUCUACAUUACUAUCUGAACCUUUGAUUUAUUUCCUGGCUUUCCAAAUUGAUUAUUCAGAGCCAUAGAGGAGGGAAAACAUGAUACUGGAGGCCCAGAGACAAAGUCAUAAGCAAAAACAAAGCUGGGGGGGAAAAAAAAAAAGACCCCAGUGCCAAGUAUCACACAUCUGUAGUGUCUCUCAACAGAGGUGGGGAAAAACACGGAGCUGUUCUCCGAAAUGAAGCAGACAGGGAUUUAUUGGGAAAGCUACAGCAAACUAAACUUCUUGGGCAAGGGUUAAGAAACUAAGGACCCCAUCUUAUAAACACUAAAGCACAUACUUAACUCGAUUUUGACAUCAAAGCUGCCUCACGUGAGCGAAGUCGUGCAACAUGUGUUUGCAGGGCACCAGGGGUUAGGGCUGCAGUCAUAAAAGCCUGAGAAGGCUGGGACAGAGAGGCAAACAAGCAAGGAUUAAAAAUAACCAAAACAGAGAAAGCUGGCAAGGAACUCUUGGCAGCUAAAAUAAUAAUAGUAAAAACCCCACAGAAAUUCAAACAUUGUUCACAUUCUAUAUGCGAGGGAUCCUCCAUGUGUUUGUUUGCCAGACCCAACGCUGAGAUGCUCUUGCUGUUGGG